rnacentral:lncRNA from 1 species
UAUUCAUCCUACAAAUCCUAUAAACAACAAAAUUUAUCAAUUAGAAUUUAUGAAAGAAAAUUUGGAUCCUACGCCUGCAAUGAUUGACGAACAUCGUUUUAUUCAUAAGUUUUCAUCAAUAACUGUUGAUAACGAUAAAUCUCCCGAAAAACCUCUGAAAGAAAUAUUCACUUUGCCGUAGGAUUAUUUACUGAAGAAAAAAAUAAUAAAAAUUGAAAAAACAGGCAAGUCAAAGUUACCAUCUGUGGGGAUCUCUGAUGAAUGGUACAAACAAUUAAAAAAAGAAAAGUUAAAAAACAUGAAAGAAGAAAAACUUAAAAA